rnacentral:rRNA from 1 species
GAUGAACGCUGGCGGCGUGCUUAACACAUGCAAGUCGAACGGUGAAGCAGAGCUUGCUCUGUGGAUCAGUGGCGAACGGGUGAGUAACACGUGAGCAACCUGCCCCUGACUCUGGGAUAAGCGCUGGAAACGGCGUCUAAUACUGGAUAUGAGCUGCGACCGCAUGGUCAGCAGUUGGAAAGAUUUUUCGGUCUGGGAUGGGCUCACGGCCUAUCAGCUUGUUAGUGAGGUAAUGGCUCACCAAGGCGUCGACGGGUAGCCGGCCUGAGAGGGUGACCGGCCACACUGGGACUGAGACACGGCCCAGACUCCUACGGGAGGCAGCAGUGGGGAAUAUUGCACAAUGGGCGAAAGCCUGAUGCAGCAACGCCGCGUGAGGGAUGACGGCCUUCGGGUUGUAAACCUCUUUUAGCAGGGAAGAAGCGAAAGUGACGGUACCUGCAGAAAAAGCGCCGGCUAACUACGUG